UUUUCUUGUGUAUUUAUUGGAUGGUACUCUUUUUUCCUACUUAAUUGUCUCGUUGAGUGAUCAUCUAGCAAGUGAAUUUUGAUGCAUCUAGUUAAUAAAGAUGAUUAAGCAGUGUCAUUUUGGAAAGCAACAACUUCAAUUCUCCUUUAAUGUGUAGGUAAUGCUCUUUCUGAAGCAUCUAGAAGUUUUCCUGAGAUUGCAGCUUUAGCAACCAGUAUAUGAUCACUGUUUCUAGGAAAAGCUUUCAAUUUAUCAUAGAUACUUCAAAGAUCUAAAAAUGCCAGCAAUGCGGCAAUAUCUGUUUGUGAAUCUUACAUCUACUGAAUAUCUAUUUUCCUAAUAUUUCCCCUCUCUCUUUGCCAUCAUCUUGGCUGAUUUAGUAUGUUUUUCUUUGAGGUAGCUAUACAUAUCAUCAAGCGUGUAUCUCUUCCCAUUCAAGUUGUGCUCUUCCUUGUCUGUGCUGGUGAUAGGAAUUUUUUUUUUUUUACUCCCUUGGGUAAAUAUUUUAGGAUCUCCUAGAUAGAGGAAGAGAGAAAAUAAGCCCUACAUUUUUAGUAAAUGACUUAGAAAAAAGAGUACGUAGAUGGCUCUACUUAGAGAGCAUGAGAGACACUAAGAGAACCCUAAUUUCCUUAUUUAUGACCGACCACCUACUGAUUGCUGAUUCAUAUAUAUAAUUCAAGACUCCCCCUGAGGCUAGAGUGUCCAGCUUGCAUAUGACCUGCGACUUUCUUCGAAAGACUGACCAAACACUGUAAGCUGGACCAUACACUAGACAAGGGAUGUGAACGCUUAGUUAUGAAUUUGAGAUAAUAACAAUUGUGUAAGCUGGACCUUACAUGAUAAAGUUGAAUGUAAUCCACAUGAUCACUGGAUCUGACAAAUGCCAAGGAAACACAUUAUCAGAAAGUUAACACUGCAUUCCCACACAACUUUGAUAAAAUCAUGUGGGAACCCAACAUGAGUUGUGGCAAACUAAACCGCUUCACUCUACAGCACUCAACUUUGUCCACUUAAUUAAGGUGUGCUGGAUUCUGGCGGUCAUAGAUGACUGAAUAUUUGACAACGGUGCCUCUGCUCGUCAGUGCCGCUUACAAUUGAGAGAGAUUCCGACAAUGGAUAGCAUCCCUAGAGGCAUUGUUGAGUGUUGACCAGAUUUUGGGAGAGUUUCUGAAGAUGAGGUGCUGCAAUUGCAGCACCAACGGUACCCUAGAAAAUGCAAAUCCUUUGACGACGAUCGAGAAGGAUGCACGUCAGAAUGAAGGUAGAGAACAGAAAUGCUUGACUUGUGGUAGACUUCCCCAAACACAAUUAUGCCAGCAACAAGAUUGACGAGGCUGCAGCGAAUGACAACUCCACUGACGACAAUGUAGAGACCAGUGGCUGACGAGAUCCCAUAUCUCUCAGAGACAAUCGAAGCAGAUCUGAGACAGACAACGGAGGAUGAUGACUUUGCUCUUGAAGACAACUGAUUCUGGGUGCUCUUGAGGAUGAAGAGCAGUGGAUGAAAAACAAAGGACUUGAAAUGACGACCGGUGGUGGUCUCAGUGUCAGAGUAGAAAUGAUGAUACGUGAAUAGGGUUCUUUUACUUAUUUUUAACACUGACCACCAGAAGAAGAUAAAGCUACAGUUGUGAUUUCGAUCCCACUCUCUUUGUGGCUCUAAUACCUUGUAAAUAUUUUAAGAACUCAAAGAGACAGGAAGAAAGAAAAUACUUAGACCCUAUAUCUUUACUGAAUGACUCGAUAAAAGAGUACAUAGAUUGCUUUACCUAGAGCACGAGAGACAUUAACAAAACCUUAGUUUCCUUAUAUAUGACCACCUAGUAUCUCUGACUAAUAUUCACGGAUAUGCUUCAACACUUUUUAUUAUAAACGAAAUCAUAAGCUUACUCAAUUAUAGCAUACAAACUUUUGCAUGUCAACUUGAAAAGACUAGACAACUUUUGGGGUAGCAGAAUCAGGGCUGUAAUGGUGAUAAUGAGCAUUAGUUUGUGUUCCUUAUAGUUGUGAUCAAUCAGUGCCGCCUUAAAUUGUAUAAGGAUGCAUCUCUAUUUGAGACGUGAAA